GACGAACGCUGGCGGCGUGCUUAACACAUGCAAGUCGAGCGGUAAGGCCCUUUCGGGGGUACACGAGCGGCGAACGGGUGAGUAACACGUGGGUGACCUGCCCUCAGCUCUGGGAUAAGCCUGGGAAACUGGGGUCUAAUACUGGAUAUGACUCCACGGUGCAUGUCGUGGGGUGGAAAGCCUUGUGCGGCUGAGGAUGGGCCCNCGGCCUAUCAGCUUGUUGGUGGGGUGAGGCCUACCAAGGCGACGACGGGUAGCCGGCCUGAGAGGGCGACCGGCCACACUGGGACUGAGACACGGCCCAGACUCCUACGGGAGGCAGCAGUGGGGAAUCUUGCGCAAUGGGCGAAAGCCUGACGCAGCGACGCCGCGUGAGGGAUGACGGCC
rnacentral:rRNA from 1 species